GCUAUCUACAGGCUUAACACAUGCAAGUCGAGGGGCAGCAUGGUCUUAGCUUGCUAAGGCCGAUGGCGACCGGCGCACGGGUGAGUAACACGUAUCCAACCUGCCGUCUACUCUUGGACAGCCUUCUGAAAGGAAGAUUAAUACAAGAUGGCAUCAUGAGUCCGCAUGUUCACAUGAUUAAAGGUAUUCCGGUAGACGAUGGGGAUGCGUUCCAUUAGAUAGUAGGCGGGGUAACGGCCCACCUAGUCUUCGAUGGAUAGGGGUUCUGAGAGGAAGGUCCCCCACAUUGGAACUGAGACACGGUCCAAACUCCUACGGGAGGCAGCAGUGAGGAAUAUUGGUCAAUGGGCGAGAGCCUGAACCAGCCAAGUAGCGUGAAGGAUGACUGCCCUAUGGGUUGUAAACUUCUUUUAUAAAGGAAUAAAGUCGGGUAUGGAUACCCGUUUGCAUGUACUUUAUGAAUAAGGAUCGGCUAACUCCGUGCCAGCAGCCGCGGUAAUACGGAGGAUCCGAGCGUUAUCCGGAUUUAUUGGGUUUAAAGGGAGCGUAGAUGGAUGUUUAAGUCAGUUGUGAAAGUUUGCGGCUCAACCGUAAAAUUGCAGUUGAUACUGGAUAUCUUGAGUGCAGUUGAGGCAGGCGGAAUUCGUGGUGUAGCGGUGAAAUGCUUAGAUAUCACGAAGAACUCCGAUUGCGAAGGCAGCCUGCUAAGCUGCAACUGACAUUGAGGCUCGAAAGUGUGGGUAUCAAACAGGAUUAGAUACCCUGGUAGUCCACACGGUAAACGAUGAAUACUCGCUGUUUGCGAUAUACUGCAAGCGGCCAAGCGAAAGCGUUAAGUAUUCCACCUGGGGAGUACGCCGGCAACGGUGAAACUCAAAGGAAUUGACGGGGGCCCGCACAAGCGGAGGAACAUGUGGUUUAAUUCGAUGAUACGCGAGGAACCUUACCCGGGCUUAAAUUGCAGAUGAAUUACGGUGAAAGCCGUAAGCCGCAAGGCAUCUGUGAAGGUGCUGCAUGGUUGUCGUCAGCUCGUGCCGUGAGGUGUCGGCUUAAGUGCCAUAACGAGCGCAACCCUUGUUGUCAGUUACUAACAGGUUCCGCUGAGGACUCUGACAAGACUGCCAUCGUAAGAUGUGAGGAAGGUGGGGAUGACGUCAAAUCAGCACGGCCCUUACGUCCGGGGCUACACACGUGUUACAAUGGGGGGUACAGAGGGCCGCUACCACGCGAGUGGAUGCCAAUCCCCAAAACCUCUCUCAGUUCGGACUGGAGUCUGCAACCCGACUCCACGAAGCUGGAUUCGCUAGUAAUCGCGCAUCAGCCACGGCGCGGUGAAUACGUUCCCGGGCCUUGUACACACCGCCCGUCAAGCCAUGGGAGCCGGGGGUACCUGAAGUGCGUAACCGCGAGGAGCGCCCUAGGGUAAAACUGGUGACUGGGGCUAAGUC
rnacentral:rRNA from 1 species